GACGAACGCUGGCGGCGUGCUUAACACAUGCAAGUCGAACGGAAAGGCCCCUUUGGGGGUACUCGAGUGGCGAACGGGUGAGUAACACGUGAGUAACCUGCCCUUGACUUCGGGAUAACUUCAGGAAACUGGGGCUAAUACCGGAUAGGAAUCCUUGCUGCAUGGUGGGGGUUGGAAAGCUUCGGCGGUUUUGGAUGGACUCGCGGCUUAUCAGCUUGUUGGUGGGGUAGUGGCUUACCAAGGCUUUGACGGGUAGCCGGCCUGAGAGGGCGACCGGCCACAUUGGGACUGAGAUACGGCCCAGACUCCGACGGGAGGCGGAAGUGGGGAAGAUUGCACAAUGGGCGGAAGCCUGAUGCAGCAACGCCGCGUGCGGGAUGACGGCCUUCGGGUUGGAAACCGCUUUCAGCAGGGGCGAAGCUUGUGGUGACGGUACCUGCAGAAGAAGCACCGGCUAACUACGUG
rnacentral:rRNA from 1 species